rnacentral:rRNA from 1 species
GGGUUGAAAGCUCCGGCGGUGCAGGAUGAGCCCGCGGCCUAUCAGCUUGUUGGUGAGGUAGUGGCUCACCAAGGCGACGACGGGUAGCCGGCCUGAGAGGGCGACCGGCCACACUGGGACUGAGACACGGCCCAGACUCCUACGGGAGGCAGCAGUGGGGAAUAUUGCACAAUGGGCGCAAGCCUGAUGCAGCGACGCCGCGUGAGGGAUGACGGCCUUCGGGUUGUAAACCUCUUUCAGCAGGGAAGAAGCGAAAGUGACGGUACCUGCAGAAGAAGCGCCGGCUAACUACGUGCCAGCAGCCGCGGUAAUACGUAGGGCGCAAGCGUUGUCCGGAAUUAUUGGGCGUAAAGAGCUCGUAGGCGGCUUGUCGCGUCGGUUGUGAAAGCCCGGGGCUUAACCCCGGGUCUGCAGUCGAUACGGGCAGGCUAGAGUUCGGUAGGGGAGAUCGGAAUUCCUGGUGUAGCGGUGAAAUGCGCAGAUAUCAGGAGGAACACCGGUGGCGAAGGGGACUUGGG